rnacentral:lncRNA from 1 species
AUAGUGGUUGGGGUUCCUGCUUGCUUGUCCGGUGGCCUUACGGUUUUCGGCGUUAGGUUUCUCUUAAGCUUAGGGAGAAGGCCGGAAAGCUACUUAACCAAACUUAUCCACGGGAGAGAGGUAAGAAGAGUGGGCAGACCUUUAUUUUUACAGUAUUUCUGUACUAGCUGAAUUAUGUUACAGCAUGCAUUAUUAUUACAUUAAAGUUUUCUUUUUGGUAACAAAAUGUUACUUUAAGAUAGCGUCUCUUUAAAUGUGUCUCGUGAAAUAUCAGUUACAUCUCCAGCAAUUUUUCCCAGAUCACAGGUGUUAGAAUCACGUGGAGUUCUCACUUGGGCCCACAUUGGUGUUGGAAGUGAUUUCUGGACAUCAGACCAGGGAAUCUGAGUCUAACUAGUGCUCUAGAAUACUCAUACAGGCCAUGUGCAGAUGAUUUGGAAGAGCUCAAUUUAUCGAACUCAGCUUUUAUGAACUUGUCAGCUCCGCGGGAUUGAAUCACACUCGACCUGCGACCAGCGGGGAGAAGGAGCCCCAGUGAAAAGUCCCUGAAUGCUUCGUGAAUGUUGCACUUUUCAGCUAAUAAGAAGAAUUAGAAAGCCCAGAGGGAAGAGGGAAAGAGUCUACCUCUGCUCUCCACCCUUCCUGCCUCCUGCUAACCUAACAAAGUGCGAAACAUCUCUCCUGCAGCCCUUCUUUUCAGAUUGGGCGUGUCCCAGACUGACAGGUUUGCUUUUUGGCUUUUACCUGGUGCAAAUCACAGCAGGGAUUAAAAAUAAAG